AUUGAACGCUGGCGGCAGGCCUAACACAUGCAAGUCGAACGAGUGGCGGACGGGUGAGUAAUGCAUGGGAACCUGCCUGGGGGAGGGGGAUAACUACUGGAAACGGUAGCUAAUACCGCAUACUAUCAGAUCUGCCCAGAUGUGAUUAGCUUGUUGGAGGGGUCACGGCUCACCAAGGCGACGAUCAAUAGCUGGUCUGAGAGGAUGACCAGCCACACUGGAACUGAGACACGGCCCAGACUCCUACGCGGGGUAGCAGUGGGGAAUAUUGCACAAUGGGCGCAAGCCUGAUGCAGCCAUGCCGCGUGUAUGAAGAAGGCCGUCGGGUUGUAAAGGACUUUUAGCAGGGAGGCGUUACCCGCAGAAGAAGCACCGGCUAACUCCGUGCCAGCAGCCGCGGUAAUAC
rnacentral:rRNA from 1 species